GGUUAAGCGACUAAGCGUACACGGUGGAUGCCCUGGCAGUCAGAGGCGAUGAAGGACGUGCUAAUCUGCGAUAAGCGCCGGUAAGGUGAUAUGAACCGUUAUAACCGGCGAUUUCCGAAUGGGGAAACCCAGUGUGACUCGUCACACUAUCAUUAACUGAAUCCAUAGGUUAAUGAGGCGAACCGGGGGAACUGAAACAUCUAAGUACCCCGAGGAAAAGAAAUCAACCGAGAUUCCCCCAGUAGCGGCGAGCGAACGGGGAGGAGCCCAGAGCCUGAAUCAGCAUGUGUGUUAGUGGAAGCGUCUGGAAAGGCGCGCGAUACAGGGUGACAGCCCCGUACACAAAAGCGCAUAUGCUGUGAGCUCGAUGAGUAGGGCGGGACACGUGGUAUCCUGUCUGAAUAUGGGGGGACCAUCCUCCAAGGCUAAAUACUCCUGACUGACCGAUAGUGAACCAGUACCGUGAGGGAAAGGCGAAAAGAACCCCGGCGAGGGGAGUGAAAAAGAACCUGAAACCGUGUACGUACAAGCAGUGGGAGCACAGGUUUACCUGUGUGACUGCGUACCUUUUGUAUAAUGGGUCAGCGACUUAUAUUCUGUAGCAAGGUUAACCGAAUAGGGGAGCCGGAGGGAAACCGAGUCUUAAUUGGGCGUUAAGUUGCAGGGUAUAGACCCGAAACCCGGUGAUCUAGCCAUGGGCAGGUUGAAGGUUGGGUAACACUAACUGGAGGACCGAACCGACUAAUGUUGAAAAAUUAGCGGAUGACCUGUGGCUGGGGGUGAAAGGCCAAUCAAACCGGGAGAUAGCUGGUUCUCCCCGAAAGCUAUUUAGGUAGCGCCUCGUGAACUCAUCUCCGGGGGUAGAGCACUGUUUCGGCUAGGGGGCCAUCCCGGCUUACCAACCCGAUGCAAACUGCGAAUACCGGAGAAUGUUAUCACGGGAGACACACGGCGGGUGCUAACGUCCGUCGUGAAGAGGGAAACAACCCAGACCGCCAGCUAAGGUCCCAAAGUCAUGGUUAAGUGGGAAACGAUGUGGGAAGGCCCAGACAGCCAGGAUGUUGGCUUAGAAGCAGCCAUCAUUUAAAGAAAGCGUAAUAGCUCACUGGUCGAGUCGGCCUGCGCGGAAGAUGUAACGGGGCUAAACCAUGCACCGAAGCUGCGGCAGCGACACUCAGGUGUUGUUGGGUAGGGGAGCGUUCUGUAAGCCUGUGAAGGUGGCCUGUGAGGGU
rnacentral:rRNA from 1 species